CCAGCAUCUACCCCCUUAAUGGGCCUACAUAAUGCAGAGGAUUAGUUAUUGGAUUUGCUCCAGUAGAUAACUUAAGAAAUAAAAAAUAAUAAUAAAACAAGAGUUAUAUAAUAUCCAAAAAAUAACAACAAAAUAGUAGUAAUAUAAUAGUUAAAUGGUAGUAAAACAGUGGAAAAACAGCAGCAAAACAACAACAGUUUUUUCUUUUUGCAAAUUCGGGCCGGGUCUGGACCAAAAAAACUUACCCGAAGCCCAACUCGUUUUGUAAACGGGUUUUAUUUUUUUACCCAUGCCCAUUUUUCGAGUCUAUAUUUUGCUCAAACGCUCU
rnacentral:lncRNA from 1 species